GAGCUCUGUGAUGUAUACUCCAGACCCAAUGGAUGUUCCAGAGACUGGGUGCCCUGAAGAUGAGCCCUUGGUUCUGUCUGCAACAUCAUUCUGCAGAAUUCAUGAGGGAUGAGGAUGAGAGAGGUCAUCACUCCUCCUUGUCUCUGUCUACUUAGCCUCCCAGAGGAUCUUGGUUUCUGAGUCAAAAAGAGCUGGCUUCAAUUUCAUCUGGCCUCAGGUGUGAGCCACACAUGCUGCCCUAGAGAUUCAGAGCAUGCCCCACCUCAUACCCCACACUGCCUUUUUUGAAAACAGGCUCAGUGGAUGGGAAACAAAGAUGAAUAAUGCAUGAUUUCAACAAACGCUUACUGGGUGUGCAGCACGUAGCAGAUGCUGAGGAUAAAACAGUGAAGAAGACUUGAACCCUGACCUGGUAGAUUACACAGUUCUGCUGGGGAGGCAGACAAGAAAAAAUAAUGAUGAACAGAGGGCCUGGCACGCUGCCUGCUGGGGUAGGCAGGUGGCAAACACUGGGAGGAAGCCCUAGGAUCACGGACGGACAUGGCUCCUGCCUGGGAGGAUUUCCCAGUCUCCUAGGGAAUGAGGGAGGCCCUUGAGCACCCCCAGAUCCCUGCAGCAUGUGCCGAAGUUCCAUUCUACAGGUCAUGAGUCCUCAAAUGAAGGCAUCAGCAGGGCUGCAUUCCUUCUGGAGGUCCUAGGGGAGAAUCUACGGCCUUACCUUUUCUAGCUUUCAGAGGUCACGUGUGUACCUUCUUCCAUCUCCAAAGGGCAUCCUUUCAGCCUCUGCUCCAAAUCAGGAGCUGUGAUCCAGGUUCUCGCCUCCUCUCUGCCUUUCCUGUUCCCCCUCAAUCCCACACUUUUGGUCAA